rnacentral:rRNA from 1 species
UACGGGGGGGGGGGCAAGCGUUGUUCGGAAUUACUGGGCGUAAAGGGCUCGUAGGUGGCCAACUAAGUCAGACGUGAAAUCCCUCGGCUUAACCGGGGAACUGCGUCUGAUACUGGAUGGCUUGAGUUCGGGAGAGGGAUGCGGAAUUCCAGGUGUAGCGGUGAAAUGCGUAGAUAUCUGGAGGAACACCGGUGGCGAAGGCGGCAUCCUGGACCGACACUGACGCUGAGGAGCGAAAGCCAGGGGAGCAAACGGGG